rnacentral:lncRNA from 1 species
AUUGCUUUUCGUAUCCAUCAUGAUUUGUGUCAGCAGAAUGGGUCUAUAGAUGGACAGCUUAUUAUUAGCUCUAAGUGAAGCAACAGAACACAAGAAUGGUUGCUUAAAACAAGGGAAAGGCUGCAGGAGGGGAUGCUGUGCCUCUGCCUGCAUCUCCCCUGGUGCUGUGUACCCCAGUGCAGCACAGGGAAGCCCGGUGUGACCUCCACUGCAGGGUGGUGGUAAAGAGGUGGUAAGGAUGUGCAGCGCUGCUACACCCCGAUCUGAGCUGCUGAACCUGAGCCACGGAGUCAACUGGACAUGUCAGAGCUCGCAGUGGGUUUUGAUGAAGCACAACAUCAGCAAGUGGUUUACAAGACAUACACCUCUGCCUGCAGAAACCCCCACUAGUCACUGCUCCUUUCAUGUUUGAUUUCCUGUGGGACUUAAGACUCCCAUUGUUCUGUCCCACCUUGUGACCUGAACAUUGAUUUCCCAUUAGGAUAUAGAUCUAGUCUGAAUGCUCAUCACAAAACACACAAUCUUGCUUAGUUACUCAUGCAUUGCUGCUUAUAAGCAGACCAAAUUCUGCAAAGUCACUGGCAGGACGACUCUGGCAGCCAGCUCCACGGCCAGCACCACACCAAUAAAAGGUUUUAUGGGAACACAACUGUAUUACAGGCUGAAAUACCACCAGGUCAGGAUUGAAGAUCUGCAUCUGAUUCUAUGACCAGGUACAUUUUCUUUUCACUCGAGCUUUACAGCCUACAUACUACAUUGCUUCUCAAAUCUGUUUUUAAUUGAAGUUGGUUUUGUGCAGCUACAUGUGUGCUACUUGAUAAAUGUGAAUCAUAGCAAAUGCCCUUAAGCCAACUCUUUAAAAGUAGAGAGCAAGUUUUAUAAAUGUGCUUCAUAAACAGCAAUAUUUUCUAAUUUCAUAGCCCAACAAGAACAAAUCACCAGCUUCUUCCAGAGAUAGAUUAGUUCCCUGUAGACAAUAAAUUGAUCCUAAGAGAUUUCCAUCUAUUUUCAGGACUCGCUAUGCACAGCUAUUACCAUUCGAUUAUUAUGCUUCAUUAAAUAACCUAAAACC